rnacentral:rRNA from 1 species
CCUACGGGAGGCAGCAGUAGGGAAUUUUCCGCAAUGGGCGAAAGCCUGACGGAGCAAUACCGCGUGAGGGAUGACGGCCUGUGGGUUGUAAACCUCUUUUCUCAAGGAAGAAGUUCUGACGGUACUUGAGGAAUAAGCAUCGGCUAACUCUGUGCCAGCAGCCGCGGUAAUACAGAGGAUGCAAGCGUUAUCCGGAAUCACUGGGCAUAAAGCGUCUGUAGGUUGUUUAGUAAGUCUGCUGUUAAAGACUGGGGCUUAACCCCAGAAAAGCAGUGGAAACUGCUAGACUCGAGUGUGGUAGAGGUAGAGGGAAUUCCUAGUGUAGCGGUGAAAUGCGUAGAUAUUAGGAAGAACACCAAUGGCGAAGGCACUCUACUGGGCCAUAACUGACACUGAGAGACGACAGCUAGGGGAGCAAACGGGAUUAGAUACCCCGGUAGUCCUAGCCGUAAACGAUGGAUACUAGAUGUUGCACGUAUUAACCCGUGCAGUAUCGUAGCUAAGGCGUUAAGUAUCCCGCCUGGGAAGUACGCUCGCAAGAGUGAAACUCAAAUGAAUUGACCGG